UGUUAGACCAGAACCAGAACCAAGACAGGACACACUGCAGCCAUACAGGUGUUAGACCAGAACCAGAACCAAGACAGGACACACUGCACCCAUACAGGUGUUAGACCAGAACCAGAACCAAGACAGGACACACUGCACCCAUACAGGUGUUAGACCAGAACCAGAACCAAGACAGGACACACUGCACCCAUACAGGUGUUAGACCAGAACCAGAACCAAGACAGGACACACUGCACCCAUACAGGUGUUAGACCAGAACCAGAACCAAGACAGGACACACUGCACCCAUACAGGUGUUAGACCAGAACCAGAACCAAGACAGGACACACUGCACCCAUACAGGUGUUAGACCAGAACCAGAACCAAGACAGGACACACUGCACCCAUACAGGUGUUAGACCAGAACCAGAACCAAGACAGGACACACUGCACCCAUACAGGUGUUAGACCAGAACCAGAACCAAGACAGGACACACUGCAGCCGUUACAUACAGGUGUUAGACCAGAACCAGAACCAAGACAGGACACACUGCACCCAUACAGGUGUUAGACCAGAACCAGAACCAAGACAGGACACACUGCAGCCAUACAGGUGUUAGACCAGAACCAGAACCAAGACAGGACACACUGCAGCCAUACAGGUGUUAGACCAGAACCAGAACCAGGACAUAAUGACACAGGGCAGUAAACGGAACUCACUCAACUUUUGUCAUCUUUAGUACCCUGAACUCGGUGACUUUAACCAGUCUGUAAGUUCUACGUAGAGAGAGAGAGAGACUGGCAAAGAGAGGGGGAGGAUUGAGAAAACAGAUGGGGAGAGAGAGAGAUGGCGAGAGAGAUGAUGGAGGAGAAUGAGGCGGCGAUGAUCUGCAUUAUUUAAACUUGAUGAAAUAUUCACCAAGUCAAGAUGGUGGAGAAACAACCACUUAAGUCUCCAGUUUGGUUUAGUUCUCUCUCUGUGGGAACGCGUGUUAUGUUGCACAACUGGCCUCUGACGCACGGGGGCUGCUCUGUGACAACGCUUUAGAAAAGUGUUAACAGGGG